UGAUUCCAUGCCGAACUCAGAAGUGAAACGCAAUAGCGCCGAUGGUAGUGUGGGGCUUCCCCAUGUGAGAGUAGGACAUCGCCAGGC
rnacentral:rRNA from 1 species